rnacentral:lncRNA from 1 species
AUCAAUUAACUUUUCAAAAUCCUAUGAUUCUCUCCUAAAUUCUCUCCCCCCGUCCUUCUCUAUUUGUAACUCCUCAACAUCCCUUCAAUUCCAUCAAAGUUAUUAUAGUCACUGCCCUUCUCAUCUUCCAUGAUCUUAAUCUUCAUCGAUUGUUAAGAGCACACACCCAUUCUGUUUCUCAACUCAGCCUCAAGUGAAUCUUUUAAAGGUAUGGGCUUAUGUUUCAUCCAUAAUUGUCGUUUUUGGUAGUAAUUUCUUAAU